rnacentral:lncRNA from 1 species
GUAUCUCAAACUUCUACACUUAUACCCAAGAUCCUACAUACUUUCCACGAUUCUAUCCUCGGGGGACAUUCUGGAUUUUUAAGAACUUACAAGAGGAUCAGUGGAGAACUAUAUUGGAGGGGUAUGAAGGCUGAAAUAAAGAAAUAUGUGGAACAAUGCGAGAUCUGCCAGAGAAACAAAUACGAAGCAACCAAACCAGCUGGGGUACUUCAACCAAUUCCAAUUCCUGACAGAAUCUUAGAAGAUUGGACCAUGGACUUUAUUGAGGGGUUGCCACUAGCUGGAGGGGUUAAUGUGAUCAUGGUGGUAGUUGAUCGGCUGAGUAAGUAUUCUUACUUUAUAUCAUUGAGACAUCCGUUUUCAGCCAAGCAAGUUGCUUCCAUAUUCAUCGACAGAAUAGUAAGCAAGCACGGCAUUCCUAAGUCGAUUAUCACAGAUCGGGAUAAAAUCUUUCUUAGUAAUUUUUGGAAGGAACUGUUUGCAACCAUGGGAACUAUUCUAAAGAGGAGUACCGCGUUUCACCCACAAACUGAUGGGCAGACAGAAAGGGUAAAUAGAUGUCUCGAAACUUAUCUGCGAUGCUUCUGUAAUGAACAACCAAAAAAAUGGGAUAGACUGAUUCCAUGGGCAGAAUUGUGGUAUAAUACCACCUUCCAUGCAUCCACCAAAAUGACCCCUUUCCAGACGGUAUACCGCAGACCGCCUCCUCCCCUGUUAUCCUAUGGUUACAAGAAAACUCCUAAUAAUGAGGUUGACACGCUGCUGAAGGAACGUGACUUAGCCAUCAAUGCCUUAAAAGAACACCUGUGUGUAGCCUAGAACAGGAUGAAGAAAAUGGCUGAUCGAAAUAGAAGAGAGUUAAAAUUUAAGGUAGGAGAUGAAGUCUACUUGAAAUUGAGACCUUACCGGCAACGCUCCUUGGCUCGGAAGAAGUGUGAAAAGUUAGCACCUAAAUAUUACGGACCCUACAAAAUUACUGAAGAAAUAGGAGCAGUUGCGUACAGAUUGAUGUUACCGCCGGAAGCCAGUAUCCACAAUGUGUUCCAUAUUUCUCAGUUAAAACUGAAACUGGGUAGUCAACAAGCUGUUCAACACCAGCAACCUAGGCUAACGGAAGAGUUUGAGUUACAAUUAUGGCCGGAAACAGUGUUGGGAGUCCGUUGGAAUCGGGAAUUGGGAGGAAAUGAAUGGUUAAUUAAGUGGAAAGGGCUGCCGGACAGUGAAACAACUUGGGAAUCUGUUUUCCAAAUGAACCAACAAUUCCCUGACUUUCACCUUGAGGACAAGGUGAACCUGGAACCGAGGGGUAUUGUAAGGCCCCCUAUUAUCCAUACAUACAAAAGGAGGGGUAAAAACGUAAAAGCUCACGCAGCAGAAAAGGGGAGAAUAUUAGGAAAAGAACAUGAGAGUGGGGCCCACGGGGAAGAAUGAGAAAAGAGCUAUAAAUAAGGCCUUAUCGGGAUUGGGGGCUAGGUUAACUUUUUGUCUUCAUUUGGUCUGUAGAGGCUGCUAGGUCUAGGAAGGACUACUAUCUUUUCCUGGGGAGGUUUGACAUGAUAUUAUCAUCUUUAUUGCUUUCUUUUAUUUCCUUCUACUGUAUCUUUUGGCAUUUAUAUAUAAAUAAAGAUCUACAGAGUGCUGUCUCUGUUUGCCAACUGUUUGGGUAAUUUAGUAUUUUAUUUGUGGAGUCUCUACAAAAUUAUAGCAAUUCAUUGCAAAUAAGAUGCAGUACCUUGAUUUUAUGGUUAAAGGUUCCAAUUGUUUUUUCUUUUUAAGCUCUUAUUUAGAAGGAUUCACCUGUUACAAGUUGAAAUGUGUUGGAAAAAUUGGACAAGAAGUUAUAACCUUACAAGAAAAUGAUCCUUAUAGAAAGAACUAACUUGAUUCAAGCAAAAUAUCUUCAAGAACAAAAUUGCAAUUACACGAACACUUAUUAACACAAAUAAAAAAUGCAAAUCAGACUAUUGAGUACAAUGAAAUACAACAUGAUAACAAGACAGAGAUGCAACAUAUACAUAAACAUACAAAUCAGAAAAGAAGUUGAUUCUUGACAACAAAGUAAAAUAAAUACAAAACAUAAUAAAUUUCUAUGACCAUUAGGACUCUGUAGAGAAAUGCCUACUUUCGACAUAAGCAUUUCAUCAAAUUCCAUCUAAAGCGGAGAGGUUGCCCAUGCAAGCUCUGAUACCAGGCAAUCUCGACGCGCAUUUUACUUUACCUAAGCAGCUGGCUUGACUCCCUCUUUUUUUUCUCCCUCCCUCUCUACCGGCUGCCGUGCUAGGUGAAGAACUAAAGGACCUACUAGGCGGGGUCGGGUUUUGCUUAGGCAAGAAAAGCGGAGAGGAUCCCCACGAAAACUCUGAAACCGGGGAUCUCGGCACGCAUUUUACUUGACCUAAGCGGCUGGCUUGGCUCCCUCUUUUUUUUCUCUCUCCCUCUCUACAGGCUGCCAUGCUGAGUGAAGAACUCUAAGAACCUACUAGGCGGGUCGGGUUUUGCUUAGGCAAGAAAAGCGGAGAGAAUCCCCACGAAAAUUCUGAAACCGGGGAUCUCGGCGCGCAUUUUACUUGACCUAAGCGGCUGGCUUGGCUCCCUCUUUUUUUUUCUCUCCCUCUCUACCGGCUGCCAUGAUGGGUGAAGAACUCUAAGAACCUACUAGGCGGGUCGGGUUUUGCUUAGGCAAGAAAAGCGGAGAGGAUCCCCACGAAAAUUCUGAAACCGGGGGAUCUCGGCGCGCAUUUUACUUGACCUAAGCGGCUGGCUUGGCUCCCUCUUUUUUUUCUCUCUCCCUCUCUACCGGCUGCCAUGAUGGGUGAAAACUCUAAGACCUACUAGGCGGGUCGGUUUUGCUUAGGCAAGAAAAGCGGAGAGGAUCCCCACGAAAAUUCUGAAACCGGGGGAUCUCGGCGCGCAUUUUACUUGACCUAAGCGGCUGGCUUGGCUCCCUCUUUUUUUUCUCUCUCCCUCUCUACCGGCUGCCAUGCUGGGUGAAAAACUCUAAGGACCUACUAGGCGGGUCGGGUUUUGCUUAGGCAAGAAAAGCGGAGAGGAUCCCCACGAAAAUUCUGAAACCGGGGGAUCUCGGCGCGCAUUUUACUUGACCUAAGCGGCUGGCUUGGCUCCCUCUUUUUUUUCUCUCUCCCUCCUACCGGCUGCCAUGCUGGGUGAAAACUCUAAGGACCUACUAGGCGGGUCGGGUUUUGCUUAGGCAAGAAAAGCGGAGAGGAUCCCCACGAAAAUUCUGAAACCGGGGAUCUCGGCGCGCAUUUUACUUGACCUAAGCGGCUGGCUUGGCUCCCUCUUUUUUUCUCUCUCCCUCUCUACCGGCUGCCAUGCUGGGUGAAAAACUCUAAGGACCUACUAGGCGGGUCGGGUUUUGCUUAGGCAAGAAAAGCGGAGAGGAUCCCCACGAAAAUUCUGAAACCGGGGAUCUCGGCGCGCAUUUUACUUGACCUAAGCGGCUGGCUUGGCUCCCUCUUUUUUUUCUCUCCCCUCUCUACCGGCUGCCAUGCUGGGUGAAAAACUCUAAGGACCUACUAGGCGGGUCGGGUUUUGCUUAGGCAAGAAAAGCGGAGAGGAUCCCCACGAAAAUUCUGAAACCGGGGGAUCUCGGCGCGCAUUUUACUUGACCUAAGCGGCUGGCUUGGCUCCCUCUUUUUUUUUCUCUCCCCUCUCUACCGGCUGCCAUGCUGGGUGAAAAACUCUAAGGACCUACUAGGCGGGUCGGGUUUUGCUUAGGCAAGAAAAGCGGAGAGGAUCCCCACGAAAAUUCUGAAACCGGGGGAUCUCGGCGCGCAUUUUACUUGACCUAAGCGGCUGGCUUGGCUCCCUCUUUUUUUUUCUCUCCCCUCUACCGGCUGCCAUGAUGGGUGAAGAACUCUAAGGACCUACUAGGCGGGUCGGGUUUUGCUUAGGCAAGAAAAGCGGAGAGGAUCCCCACGAAAAUUCUGAAACCGGGGGAUCUCGGCGCGCAUUUUACUUGACCUAAGCGGCUGGCUUGGCUCCCUCUUUUUUUUCUCUCUCCCUCUCUACCGGCUGCCAUGCUGGGUGAAAAACUCUAAGGACCUACUAGGCGGGUCGGGUUUUGCUUAGGCAAGAAAAGCGGAGAGGAUCCCCACGAAAAUUCUGAAACCGGGGGAUCUCGGCGCGCAUUUUACUUGACCUAAGCGGCUGGCUUGGCUCCCUCUUUUUUUUCUCUCCCUCUCUACCGGCUGCCAUGAUGGGUGAAAAACUCUAAGGACCUACUAGGGGGUCGGGUUUUGCUUAGGCAAGAAAAGCGGAGAGGAUCCCCACGAAAAUUCUGAAACCGGGGGAUCUCGGCGCGCAUUUUACUUGACCUAAGCGGCUGCUUGGCUCCCUCUUUUUUUUCUCUCACCCUCUCUACCGCUGCCAUGCUGGGUGAAAAACUCAGAAGAAUAGUUCUUGCAAUGGUAAAGCUCCUAACCCCGAUCAGGAAACCCAUGAAAGAGCAGACUCAACGGAUAAGUCUUCAUCAACCCUAUCUAGCUGCUGAGUCAGAGUACGAGGGCUAGGCCCAGGCAAAGGCGAGACCAGUAGCAGCUCUUUCUUCAGUUUCAGUUGUUGUCGUUGAGUCAAGCUAUUUAUUCUCUCAAAAUGUAGAUUUAGAAGCUGCCCAUAAAUUUACCUGAAACCCUAUCUCUUCCUUCGACUUCUACUGAAUUUCGACUUCUACUUUCUGAAGUGAAUCCCCUCCACAAAGGUACCGCCCGGAAGUUGCUCCAUUUCAAUCUACUAAGAUCCCAGAUGCAAAGACGGUUCUUUCCCCCCGAAAUGGAAUGGAGGCUAAAAGCUUGAUAAAGUCCGACGGAAUAUACAAAGGGAUAAUAAGAUAAGAGUCCAAGAAAGCGCCAAGAAUUGGAAGCAGGACCUACUAGGCGGGUCGGGUUUUGCUUAGGCAAGAAAAGCGGAGAGGAUCCCCACGAAAAUUCUGAAACCGGGGGAUCUCGACGCGCAUUUUACAUGACCUAAGCGGCUGCCUUGGCUCCCUCUUUGUUUUCUCUCACCCUCACUACCGGCUGCCAUGAUGGGUGAAGAACUCUAAGGACCUACUAGGCGGGGUCGGGUUUUGCUUAGGCAAGAAAAGCGGAGAGGAUCCCCACGAAAUAUUCUGAAACGGGGAUCUCGACGCGCAUUUUACUUGACCUAAGCGGCUGGCUUGGCUCCCUCUUUUUUUCUCUCUCCCUCUCUACCGGCUGCAUGCUGGGUGAAAACCUCUAAGGACCUACUAGGCGGGUCGGGUUUUGCCUAGGCAAGAAAAGCGGAGAGGAUCCCCACGAAAUUCUGAAACCGGGGGAUCUCGGCGAGCAUUUUACUUGACCUAAGCGGCUGGCUUGGCUCCCUCUUUUUUUUCUCUCCCCUCUCUACGGCUGCCAUGCUGGGUGAAAAACUCUAAGGACUACUAGGGGGGUCGGGUUUUGCUUAGGCAAGAAAAGCGGAGAGGAUCCCACGAAAAAUUCUGAAACCGGGGGAUCUCGGCGCGCAUUUUACUUGACCUAAGCGGCUGCCUUGGCUCCCUCUUUUUUUUCUCUCACCCUCUCUACCGGCUGCAAUGCUGGGUGAAAAACUCUAAGGACCUACUAGGCGGGUCGGGUUUUGCUUAGGCAAGAAAAGCGGAGAGGAUCCCACGAAAAUUCUGAAACCGGGGGAUCUCGGCGCGCAUUUUACUUGACCUAAGCGGCUGCCUUGGCUCCCUCUUUGUUUUCUCUCACCCUCUCUACGGCUGCAAUGCUGGGUGAAAAACUCUAAGGACCUACUAGGCGGGUCGGGUUUUGCUUAGGCAAGAAAAGCGGAGAGGAUCCCCACGAAAAUUCUGAAACCGGGGGAUCUCGGCGCGCAUUUUACUUGACCUAAGCGCUGCCUUGGCUCCCUCUUUGUUUUCUCUCACCUUCUCUACCGGCUGCCAUGCUGGGUGAAAAACUCUAAGGACCUACUAGGCGGGUCGGGUUUUCCUUAGGCAAGAAAAGCGGAAGGAUCCCACGAAAAUUCUGAAACCGGGGGAUCUCGGUCCGCAUUUUACUUGACCUAAGCGGCUGGCUUGGCUCCCUCUUUUUUUUCUCUCUCCCUCUCUCCCGGCUGCCAUGCUGGGUGAAGAACUCUAGUGACCCACUAGGCGGGGGUCAGGUUCUGCAACUCUAAGCAGCUUGGUCGUAUUGCUUUGUUUUUAUCGGCUGUUAUGUUGGGUGAAGAACUCUAAGAACUUGCUGACUUUGCUUUCUACUUGACCUAACAAUCUUAUUUUGCUUUCAAACAAUCUUAUACAAAUGUGUAUUGCCAAAAGAGGGAUUUAAAAUUAAUAUAAAAAAGGCAGUAGAAGAUGGCAAAAAAGGGGAUUAAAAUUGAGAUAAAAAAGGCAACCGCACAUAUUAUUAUGUACAUAAUUCACAAUAUUCAGAAAAUGAACCAAGUGUUCUACUCAUUUCUAAGCUAUCAGUAUAUGCAUUUUCAACAUAUGUAACAUAUUCAACUAACAAAUACAAUCACAAAUCCGAGCUCUGUUCUCAUGGGUUAGGCAUAUAUGCUUUUUUAUGCUAAAAAGCGAAGUAGACAUGGUACUUAUUCUAAGCAUAGAGCAUUGCAAAAGUUUCUAAAUUUUGACAUUUUAGAAAAAUUUGCAAAAUGAAAAUUUCCCAAAGGACAUGGAAUGUGCAAGGCUACAACCCACCCCCCACUUAAAAAUUUGCAUUGUCCUUAAAGCAUUUUAAGCAAGAUUCUACGGAUGGAAAGAAAAAAAAGGAGAACAGAAGACUCCCCUUGUAACCUAGUUUCUUCAUGGAAGCUUGCUUGCAAAGAUCCAAGUUUGGUUAUAUUUCAUUUUCCUUUAUUCCUACAAAAAGAAAACAAGAAUUUCCUUUCGAAUUUUAUUAAAGAGGUUAAACUAAAAAUUUUAGAAAAAUGUGCAGAAUUGUUUAAGCUUGGUUGCAUUUUCUAAGCAUCACUUGAAUUUAUUAAAACGACCUAACAAAUAUUCAAUACAAGUUCGUAAUUCAUAACCUACCAAAAGUUCAAAAAGAUUGUUGUAAAUUACAUACAUCAAUAAACUUACUUUCAACAUUCAUUUGGGGUAUUGUACGUUCAUAUUAAAAAGUUCAUUCAUGUGUGAUGCAAAGGCCCUUUUUAUGUAUCUAAAACUAAAAUCACGAAAAUCAUCGUGGACAUGCAGCACAACAAACUGAAUUUCCAUGGGAAGCCUUUUGCUAACAAAAUGGUUGACAAUAAUUACUCAGACAAGAGAGAAUGACUAUAAUUAAUUAACAGAAGUACAAAUCAAUAUAGGUGCACAACCACCAAGCCCCAACAAAAGGAACAAUAAAUUUCAAUAACAAAGAAAGGUAGUAUCAGGACUAUCCUUACUUGUUAUCGAAGAAGAUACCUUGGCUCCGGUAAGCCCAAUGCUCUGCCUUACAACGUUCAAUUACCUCAGUACUGCAGCGUUUCUUCAAAGUUUGGGAAUCUACCUAAAACAUAAAUAUAUAUUCCAACUUGAAAACCUCCAUGUCAGAAACUUUACUUUAUUUAUCAACACAGAUGCUAUGCAAGAAUUAGUUAGCAGAAAUACAACAUAAAUAGUAAUGAUAUUCUUGGGGAGGGGAUAAAAGCAUCUUUCAUCUUAGAAAUAAGCUUAGCAGUUAGCACUAACCUUUAUAUAAGAAGUUAACACCGGUUUGAUUGCUUCUUAAAGUUCAGCUACGAAAUCUGGUAAAGAGAAAGACCUAAUCCAUAAUGUUAAAGAGGAAAAGACCAAGUCAGAUUCCUUUAUUCAAACAGGUUAGUAUCACAUCUCCAAAGGAAAAAACUUACGGACCUCUACGACGAAUUUCCUUGAAUGAUGUAGCAGCACCUGAUUCUUCAAACACAGUUUCAUUUAUGCUGUGAAAAAUAAGAUUGAUAAAUAAACUUUCGGCUACAAUGAGCCACAUAAACAUAAAGCUGUGACAGGAAAACAAAAGCUAACAGAUAAUUAACUAUACAGUUUGUAAGCAAAAUACCAAAUAGCCCAUAAUCAAGAUCACAACUGAAGCAAACAAUAAUGUGUAGUUUAUCAUUUCCAACCAAAUAAUUCAAUAACAAAUAAGGUCAAAUGGCCAAAUAAUAUGUCCUUUCACAUAAAUAUUUACUCCUGAAUUUUUUGAAGGAUAAUGUUACCGCUUCUCUCCCACGUUUCACAAAAAUUCUUUUACAUAUUAUAUUUUUUUUACAUAUUCCUAUUGAAGAAUCUCAUUUGAGCAUUUGUGGUCAAUUUGACUUGAAAGAAACGGCCAAACUUUCAAUAAGAAAGAAGCAAGAUGGCCCAAUUACGAAAAUAAUACCAUGAAUACAAACCAUGAAGAAAUAGUAAAACAGUCAAUACAAGAAGAAAAAAGUUCACUUCAAAACGACCUAAAACAGUAUCACUUGAACAAAAUGUGUCUAAGUAUCACUCGAACUUUCAAAACGACCUAAAACAGCUUACGUUGAGAUUUGUAACUCAUAACCUACGAAAAAAGUUCAAAUAGUGUGAAAAAAGCACUACAAGACCCAAAAUGGCUACCAAGUGUGUAAUUGUAACAAACUUAGUUCAAACCAACCUAGAACGUGCUCAAAACGUGUCUAGGUAUUACUUGAGUUUUCAAAACGACCUAGCAAAUCCUAAAUGUAGGUUCGUAAUGAUCUACCAAAAAGGUUGAAAAAAGCAUUUCAAGACCAAAAAUGACAACCAAGUGCAACAAAAUCAAUCUAACCUAAAAUGUAUUCAAAACAUGUGUACGUAUCACUUAAACUUUCAAAACCACCAAACAAUGCUUAAGUGUAAGUUUGUAACUCACAACCUACCAAAUUUUCAAAAACUGUAAAAAAGCACUUCAAGACCCAAAAUGGCAACGAAGUAUGUAAGUGCAACGGACUUAGUUUCAAGCCAUCCUAAAAAGAGUGCAAAACGUGUCUAAGAUUUCAAACCGACCAAACAAUACUCAAGCGUAAGUUCGUAACUCACAACCUAAAAAAAUUUCAAAAAGUGUGAAAAAAAGUACUUCAAGACCCAACAUUUCAAUCCAAUGUGUAAGUGCAACAAACUUAGUUUCAAACCAACGCAAAAUGUGUUUAAAACGACCUAACAAUCGUUAAGUGUAAGUUCGUAACUCACAAACUAACAAAAAAAUCAAAAUGCGUGAAAAAUGCACUUUGAGACCUAAAAUGGCAACCAAGUAUGCAAGUGAAACAAACUUAGUCUUAAACAAAUCUAAAAAAAUUUCAAACCGUGUUUAAGUAUCACUUGAACUUUCAGAACGACCUAAGAAUGUUUAUUUGUAAAUUCAUCACUCAUAACCUACCAAAAAGUUCAAGAAGUAUGGAAAAAAAGGAAACACUACACGACCCAAAAUGGCAACCAAGUGCGCAAGUGCAACAAACUUAGUUCCAAACCAACCUAAAAAGUGGUCAAGGCGUGUCUAAGUAUCACUUGGACUUUCAAAACAACCUAACAAAGUUUAAGUGUAAGUUGGUAACCCAUAGCCUACCAAAAAGUUCAAAAAGUGUGAAAAGGGCACUUCAAGACCGAAAAUGGCAACCAAUUGGAUAAGGUCAACAAACUUAGUUUCAAACUAACCUAAACCGAGUUUAAAACGUGUCUAAGUAUCACUUGAACUUUCAAAAUGUCCUAAAACAGCUUACGUGUAGGAUCGUAACUCAUAACCUACGAAAAAAGUUCAAAUAUUGUGAAAAAAGCACUACAAUACCCAAAAUGGCAACCAAGUGUGUAAGUGCAACAAACUUAGUUCAAACCAACCUAAAAUGUGCUCAAAACGUGUCUAUGUAUUACUUGAGUUUUCAAAACGACCUAGCAAAUCCUAAGUGUAAGUUCGUAACUCAUAAUCUACCAAAAAGUUUGAAAAAAGCAUUUCAAGACCAAAAAUGACAACCAAGUGCAACAAACUCAAUCUAACCUAAAAUGUAUUCAAAACGUGUGUAACUAUCACUUGAAUUUUCAAAACAACCAAACAAUGCUUAAGGGUAAGUUUGUAACUCACAACCUACCAAAAUUUCAAAAAGUGUGAAAAAGGUACUUCAAGACCCAAAACGGCAACGAAGUAUGUAAGUGCAAUGAACUUAGUUUCAAGUUAUCUUAAAAAGAGUUCAAAAUGUGUCUAAGCUUUCAAACGGACCAAACAAUACUCAAGCGUAAGUUCGUGACUCACAACCUACCAAAAUUUCAAAAAGUGUGGAAAAAAGCACUUGGAGACCCAACAUGUCAAUCAAAUGUCUAAACAACUUAGUUCCAAACAAACACAAAAUGUGUUUGAAACGACCUAACAGUGCUUAAGUGUAAGUUCGUAACUCACAAACUAACAAAAAGUUCAAAAUGAGUGAAAAUGCACUUUGAGACCUAAAAUGGCAACCAAUUGUGCAAGUGAAACAAACUUAGUGUUAAACAAAUCUAAAAAAUGUGCUUAAAACUACUCUAAAGCACACACAAACACUCUCCAUCUCACUCUCUAUCUGCCCUGUUUCCAAUUUAAUCGGUAUUCAUUUGGGGUUAUUGUAGGUUCAUAUUUAGAAAUAGUCAUUCAUGUUGUGAUGCAAAAUCCCUUUUAUGUAUCUAAAACUAAAAUCACGAAAAUCAUCUUGGACAUGCAGCACAACAAACUAAAUUUCCACGGGAAGCCUUUGCUAACAAAAUGGUAGACAAUAAUUACUCAAACAAGAGAAGGACUAUAAUUAAUUAACAGAAGUACAAAUCAAUAUAGGUGCACAACCACCAAACAAGAGAGAAGGAACAAUAAACUUCAAUAACAAAAGAAAGGUAGUAUCAGGACUAUCCUUACUUGUUAUCGAAGAAGAUACCUUGGCUCCGGUAAGCCCAAUGCUCUGCCUUACAACGUUCAAUUACCUCAGUACUGCAGCGUUUCUUCAAAGUUUGGGAAUCUACCUAAAACAUAAAUAUAUAUUCCAACUUGAAAACCUCCAUGUCAGAAACUUUACUUUAUUUAUCAAACCAGAUGCUAUGCAAGAAUUAGUUAGCAGAAAUACAACAUAAAUAGUAAUGAUAUUCUUUGGGGAGGGGAUAAAAGCAUCUUUCAUCUUAGAAAUAAGCUUAGCAGUUAGCACUAACCUUUAUAUAAGAAGUUAACACCGGUUUGAUUGCUUCUUAAAGUUCACUACGAAAUCUGGUAAAGAGAAAGACCUAAUCCAUAAUGUUAAAGAGGAAAAGACCAAGUCAGAUUCCUUUAUUCAAACAGGUUAGUAUCACAGCACCAAAGGAAAAAACUUACGGAUCUCUACGACGAAUUUCCUUGAAUGAUGUAGCAGCAUUUGAUGCUUGAAACACGGUUUCAUUUAUGCUGUGAAAAAUAAGAUCGAUAAAUAAAACUUUUGGCUACAAUUAGCCACAGAAACAUAAAGCUGUGACAGGAAAACAAAAGCUAACAGAUAAUUAACUAUACAGUUUGUAGGCAAAAUACCAAAUAGCCCAUAAUCAAGAUCACAACUCAAGCAGACAAUAAUGUGUAGUUUAUCAUUUCCAUCCAAAUAAUUCAAUCAUAAAUAAGGUCAAAUGGCCAAAUAAUAUGGCCUUUCACAUAAAUACUUACUCCUGAAUUUUUUGAACGAUAAUGUUAUCGCUUCUCUCCCACGUUUCACGAAGGCCCUCAGCCAUCUGCCAAUUCCAAUAUAAGAAAAUUAUUUUACAUAUUAUAUUAAACAUUGAAAAUUCUUUUACAUAUUAUUUUUUUUUUAUGUAUUCCUAUUGAAGAAUCUCAUUUGAGCAUUUUGUGGUCAAUUUGACUUGACAGAAACAGCAGAACUUUCAAUUAGAAGGAAGCAAGAUGCCUAGUUUUUUGAACUGCGGUUUUUUUUUUUUUUUUUUGCUUUAACUUGCUGUAAAUUGGAGAUGUUUUCCAUAACUGCUUCGGCUUGGAGCCCUCUCUCUACUCCUUAUGUAAUUUCAAGAAAUAGAUAAAAUCCAAGUUAAACUAGAUAAGUGGAAAAGAUAUUGUCUCUUUAGUGGAGGUUGGGACACACUUUGUAAGUCGGUUUUUUCACAUAUACCUACACACUAUAUGUCUAUAUUCUUAAUGCCAGAAAAGAUGAUUCAUAAAGUGAUUAAUUGGAAGGUGGUGUCUUGUUCGCAAGAGGAUGGUGGAAUCGGCGUCGAUGUGUGCAACGUUAAAAAAAUGCAACCUUCUUGCUAAAUGGGGAUGGAGAUUUAUAAAUGAAAAGAAUUCCCUUUGGGCUAAAGUGGUGAAGAGUAUCCAUGGAGAAAGUUAAUUUGGAUGGCAUACUAAAGGAAUUGUCACUUGCAGUCUCCAUAGUCCCUGGAUUAGCAUUUCGAGAUGCUAGCUUCAAGUGGAUUCCUAGGCAUUGUUCAAGUUCGGUGAUGGUUGAAGAAUAGCAUUUUGGAAUGAUUUUUGGGCAGAUGUUGUUUCUUUUCAAGAUCGUUUAGAUUGUCUUUGAACUCUAAUAAUGGAGAUGUAAAGGAGUUUUGGGACUCUUCCACUACUUCAUGGGCUCUAAAUUUCAGGAGACUUCUAAAAGUUGAAGAAAUAGAUGAAUUUCAAGCCUCCCAAAAUAAAAGAACCUAGAAAUCAGAAUCAAAUGGGAGGUUUUUGGUUCAUUCAUUGGUCAAGCAUCUCUCCAUUGCCUCCCCAAUUGAAAAACAUUUAUACUCGACAAUUUGGAAGACAAAAAAGCCCUAGAAAGAGUGAAUAUCACGCUUUGGAGAAAGCGAAAUGGACUAUGAACUGUGCAGAAGUUUUGCAAAUGAAACCUUCCUCUCACAGUUUAUCUCCUAAUAUUUGUCCUUGUGUUUGCAUGCUUUAGAAGAUUUACAUCAUAUUUUCUUCUCCUGCUUACAUGAAAAGAAGUGUUGGUUUGACUUACUUGGCUAUCUUCAUUUGAAUUGGGUUUUCGACUAUAGAUUUAGGAGAACGCGGUCCAGCUUAUUUCAUGUCCCAUUCUCAAGAAGAAACCAAGAUUGAUUUGGUUAAAUGCAGUGAAGGCCAUUUUACCAGAAAUUUGGUUUGAACAUAAUCAGCUAACAUUUUAAAAUAAAGCUUCCUCUUGGACAACUCGAGUCGAAAUGGCUAGAAUCAAUGCUUCUUCUUGAUGCUCUCUUUCAAAAGACUUCAAAGAUUUCUCCAUACAAGAUAUAAGUCAUAAUUGGCCGACUUUCAUUUUUAAUUCUUAGUCCACUACUGUACUCUUAUUUUAUUUCUUUUGGAUUUCUAGUGGUCUUAAAUCUAUGUUGUAUAGUUAUUGGGCAGUUUGUAUGAUCUAUUCCAAACCUUGUCGUUGGUUUAGUCUUUUGGUUUAAGUCUCGAUAUGGUGAGAAUGCUAAGUAGGUGUCAACAUAGAUGAGAUGUCCUAGUGCACUCACUGAUCCUAGGGCUUCUUUGUAUUACCUUUUGUCUUGUCUAUUCAUUUUCAGCUUAAUGAAGAGGCUCCUUUCCUACUUCAAAAAAGAAAAAAAAGGUAAAUGUGUGAUUCUUAUAAAGUAAAUUAUCCUACAGAUUAAAAGUUUGAACUUAUUCCAAGUGCUUCACCAAAUCUUAAAUAUUUGAACCAACAGCACCAACUUUGCACAACACAACAAUGUAAAACACAUUAACUACUUUCUCUUUUAUGCACAUUAUAUAUCAAAUAAAAAUAUUAGAAGGGAAAAAAUGGAAAAAAAAAACAUACUAACAACGAUAAAAUAUAAUAAGCUUCAAUCGAAGAGAGAAGGUUUGAAGAACAUAAUUCAAAGGUUCCCAAAAUCAUAUCAUAAUUAGAAAGCCAAUACCAACACCAAUUCAAAGAGAACACCUAAUCUACCAUACAAAAGUCUAAAUAUAACUUUUUUUUUUAAUCUUGUGUUUUAGUGUAUGAUGCAAGUGAAGCAAAACAACAUUACAAUAUAAGAUCUUUUUACCCUGAUAUUUAAUAAUCAACUAAGAAAAAUUCGCAUUCAAAGUUGACCAAGAAUCCAAGACCUUCAAUAGGCAAAGAUAAUAUUCUCAACAUGGUAAUUGGAUGUGUUCCCUUUAGCAUAGUAUCUUAAAUAAUCACUUUUUGUUAUUUGAGAAAAACUCCAUUCUCUUAUUAAUGAAAAAGGACUUGAUAAUAGGCAAGUAUAAUUUAAUAGAAAUUCUAACUAAAGAGAACUAAUUAUAAAAGGAAAUAACGUCUAAAAAGAAUAAUUAAAAAAAUAACUAAGGCAACUAUACAAUACAAAUCUACACUUUGUAAUCACAACUUUCGAUCUUCCUUGUAUGGAGUAACAUUUUAAAGAGGCCGAACUAAGAUAGAUCUAAGCAAAAACUUCAUUCAUUGAUGGCCUAAGAAAGAUGGAUGGAAACCUUAUAAUGAUACAGGUAACAAACCUUUUCAAUUGAGGUUUAGAUGCAAAACAUGUAAUAUAGUUCAACAUUAUUUUGCCAAAGUUAGUCAUUAAACUCAAGCGAAUCAUAAAACAGAAAAAGAAUGUAGAUUUAAGAGGACUAUGUAAUAUAUCAACUAGGAAUGAAAUAGGCGAAGAUAAAAGCAAGUAUUAAGAACAAAAGCAUAACAAAAGAGGAAGGCCAGCUUACUAUUCAAAAAAGCAAAGGAGUUCCAUCACUUGCAAGAUAGCCUGUGGAACAUUGCUAUAGAACUAUCUUGGGAACUUUGGCAGAGUUGUGUUUGGAAAUUACAAUGAUGUUUAGCAAAAAUGUUUACAAUAAUAAAACUAUAACAUAAAUGUUUCAUAGUGUUGGAAGAAAUUUGUAAGGCCCCCUAUUAUCCAUACAUACAAAAGGAGGGGUAAAAACGUAAAAGCUCACGCAGCAGAAAAGGGGAGAAUAUUAGGAAAAGAACAUGAGAGUGGGGCCCACGGGGAAGAAUGAGAAAAGAGCUAUAAAUAGGCCUUAUCGGGAUUGGGGGCUAGGUUAACUUUUUGUCUUCAUUUGGUCUGUAGAGGCUGCUAGGUCUAGGAAGGACUACUAUCUUUUCCUGGGGAGGUUUGACAUGAUAUUAUCAUCUUUAUUGCUUUCUUUUAUAUUUCCUUCUACUGUAUCUCUUGGCAUUUAUAUAUAAAUAAAGAUCUACAGAGUGCUGUCUCUGUUUGCCAACUGUUUGGGUAAUUUAGUAUUUUAUGUGGAGUCUCUACAAUUGGUAUCAGAGCCCAAACGCUGGGGUGGUGACGCGACUGAUGGCGCAAAGGCAAAUAGAAGAAAGAAUAGAUGGAACCGAGAAAGAAAUACUGGGCUUGAAGGAAAUGAUUCUGGAAAUGAAGAAAUCCAUGGAUAGACUGGCUGAUGAAAUGAAAGAAAACAGCAGCUACAAAAGGCGAGAUGAAUCCGGAACUUCUGAUGGAUCAGUCAUGAAGUUAAAAGGAAAAUGGGAAGAAGCCGACAAUCCAGGGGAAAACAAUGUAGUAACUGUCGACCGAAGCAAAUAUAAGAAACUGGAAAUGCCGAUUUUCACCGGGGAAAAUCCUGAGUCAUGGGUGUUUAGAGCUGAGCAUUUUUUCGAAAUUAAUAGCCUACCGGAAGCAGAAAAAGUGAAAGUAGCAGUGGUUAGUUUCAGACAAGAUGAAAUCGAUUGGUACCGUUGGUAACCAUAGAAAGAAGGUGGAAGGAUGGGAAGAUUUGAAGGUAAGGAUGUUUGAAUUUUUUCGAGAUUCUGGGCAGAAGAGCUUAGGUGCAAGGCUGAUUCGAAUAGAACAAGAUGGAUCCUAUAAUGAUUAUGUCAAGAAAUUCGUACAAUAUUCUGCACCACUACGCACAUGGCUGAAAGCGUGCUCUUAGAUGCAUUCGUGACAGGUCUAGAACCGGCUCUUCAAGCAGAAGUUAUUAGUAGACAUCCUCAAACCUUAGAGGAAUGUAUGAAGGAGGCACAACUGGUAAGUGGCAGAAACCUAGCCUUGAAAUUAGCCAAGGCAGAAUGGGUAAACAGUGUGACUAGGGAAGGAGGAGGCUCAAGCAAGGGACAAAGCAGUCAAGAUAAAAGUUCACCAAAGAAGACUGAGUUCCCCAUGAAGCAAGUCACUAUUCCCAUUAAAGGAAACUACCAGAAAAAUGAACCUCCAGUUAAAAGACUCUUGGACACGGAAUUCAGAGCAAGAUUGGACAAGGGUUUGUGUUUUAGAUGCAAUGAGAAGUACUCACCGGGACACCGAUGCAAGAUGAGAGAGAAAAGGGAAUUAAUGUUAUUUAUACUUAACGAAGAAGAGAGUGGCGGGGAGGAAGUCAAAAUGGAAGAGACCGAAGAAGUAAUGGAGCUGAACCAGUUAGUUGUUGCUGAAACCACGAAAUUGAAUUGAAGACACUCACGGGGUUAACAUCCAAAGGGACAAUGAAACUGAAGGGGCAUGUAAAAGGAAGGGAGGUGGUGAUUCUCAUCGACAGUGGCAAUGGAAGGAGGGUUGAACAUUGAACCCGGUACACAAUUUGGAGUGACUAUUGGAGACGGGACCCGCUGUAAAGGGAAAGGUAUUUGCAGAAAGGUGGAACUGAGAUUGAAAGAAAUGACAGUUAUAACUGAUUUUCUAGUGGUGGAACUAGGAAAUAUUGACGUGAUUUUAGGGAUGCAAUGGCUAGAUACCACCGGCACAAUGAAGGUACAUUGGCCAUCAUUAACCAUGACCUUUUGGGCAAAAGACAAGCAAAUCGUGUUAAGAGGAGAUCCAUCCUUAGUGAAACCUGAAUGUUCUUUGAAGACAUUGGAAAAAACGUGGGAUAUAGUGUAAGACCUCCAGUUAUUCAUACAUAUCAAAGGAGGGGCAGAAAAGUAAUUGGACAAAUUAAUAAUGAGGAAGGAAAAAGAGGAGAUCGUGCAGGUGGGGCCCAGGCACAGAAAUAAGAGAAAGAUGAGAGAAGGAAUAUAAAUAGGUUUUUUAGGUCUAGGGGAGGUAGGUUUUAUUUUUAUCCUGAAGUUGGCGGCUGCUUAGCCUAGAGGAAUAUCCAGUCUUUCCCUAGAGGAAGCUGGGUUUGUCUUCAUUAUUCCUUGUUUUUCUUGAAUCUUUAUGUUUUUCUGUACUCAUUUUGGCUAUAUAUAAAUAAAGAUAGCAGAGGGCUACCUCUGUUUUUGGCCAUUGUAAGGGAGAAAUAGUGAAGUAAGCAAGUUGAAUCCUUAUAUAUUGGUAUCAGAGCCUCCACACUGGGGGUGAUCACGCGUCUGAUGGCUCAAAGACAGAUAGAAGAACGGGUAGAAGGUACUGAAAAGGAAAUUAUGAGUCUGAAGGAGAUGAUGCUGGAAAUGAAGAAAUCGAUGGAUCGAAUGACAGGCGAGCUAAGAGAAAACCAUGGUGCUAAGAAAAAAGAAGAAGCAGGGACUACGGACGACAUCAGGUUGAAACUGAAGGGAAAACUGGAAAGGCCGGAACCACAGUCGAGUCGGGUGGAAGCAGCGCAGACCGAAGUAAGUACAAAAAAUUAGAAAUGCCACUGUUUACAGGGUGAACCCUGAAUCCUGGGCGUACCGAGCAGAACAUUUUUUUGAUAUAAAUGACUUACCGGAAGCUGAGAAGGUCAAAGUAGCAGUCGUGAGUUUUGGACAGGAAGAGGUAGACUGGUUUAGAUGGAGUAAUCGUAGAAAGAGGGUGGAAUCUUGGGAGGACUUGAAGGAAAGGAUGUUUGAUUUCUUUAAGAUAUAGGACAGCAGAGCUUGGGGGCAAGAUUAAUCCGUAUUAAGCAAGAAGGCUCAUACAGCGAGUACGUUAAGAAGUUUGUUACAUACUCAGCCCCCUCCCGGACAUGGCAGAAAGUGUUCUGCUGGAUGCGUUUUUAACGGGUCUGGAACCCUCACUGCAAGCGGAAGUAAUCAGCAGACACCCUCAAACUUUAGAGGAAUGUAUGAAGGAAGCUCAGCUUGCGAAUGAUAGGAAUAUAGCAUUAAAACUGGCGAUGGAAGAGUUGGAUAUAGUUGAGCCCAAAAGGAAUGAGAACAGCAGCAAAUUUCAAGGAAAAAAUGAGAAGACAGAAAGUAAAAAGACAGAGUUUGUGAUGAAGCAGGUAACUAUUCCAUUGAAAAAUGAUUACCAGAAAAAAGAUCUCCCAAUUAAACGGCUGUCGGAUACGGAAUUUAGAGCAAGGCUGGAUAAGGGCUUUGUUUCAGAUGUAAUGAAAAGUACGCCCCAGGCCAUCGAUGUAAAGGGAGAGAAAAAAGAGAGUUGAUGCUCCUUAUACUAAAUGAGGAAGAAGACCACAAAAGGGAAGAGGAUACAGAGGAUGAGGCAAGCGAAGUAAUAGAACUGAAUCAUCUGGAAUUGAAUAUGGAUAACCCUAUUGAAUUGAGGUUGAUCACGGGAGUUACAUCAAAGGGGACGAUGAAAUUAAAAGGACAUGUGAACGGAAGGGAAGUAGUAUAUUCUGAUUGACAGCGGGGCGACCAAUAACUUCAUCAGCUAAGUGUUGGUAGAUGAACUACAGCUGAGCAUCGAUCCGGGAACUCGUUUUGGAGUUACCAUUGGGAAUGGCAACCAAUGUGAAGGAAGUGGGAUUUGCAAGAGGGUGAAGGUGAAGUUAAAAGAGUUAACAAUCGUAGCAGAUUUCCUAGCGGUAGAGUUAGGAACGGUAGACUUGGUGCUUGGGAUGCAAUGGCUAGAUUCGACAGGAACCAUGAAGGUUCACUGGCCAUCCCUAACCAUGACGUUUUGGAUGAAGGUAGAAGAAUAAUCCUAAAAGGUGACCCUUCUCUAACGAAGUCAGAAUGUUCAUUGAGAACCUUAGAGAAAACGUGGCAAUCCGGGGACCAAGGAUUCCUCUUGGAAUUCCAAAACUAUGAAGUAAACUAUGAAGGAGAAUCGGAAACAGAAGCUGAAUUGAAGGGAAAGGAAGAAGGAUUACCCAUGGUUCAGCGAUUGCUCGAGCAAUAUGCAGAUGUCUUUAGGUUGCCCACGGGUUUACCGCCAAGGAGAGCCAUAGACCAUCGCAUUCUGACCGUGGCCGAUCAGAAACCAAUUAAUGUAAGACCAUAUAAGUAUGGCCAUGUACAAAAGGAAGAGAUUGAAAAAUUGGUGUUAGAAAUGUUACAAGCUGGGGUGAUUCGUCCAAGCCGCAGCCCAUAUUCGAGCCCGGUCCUCUUAGUGAAGAAAAAAGAUGGAGGGUGGAGAUUUUGUGUAGAUUACAGGAAACUCAAUCAAGUAACGGUGGCUGAUAAAUUUCCAAUUCCCGUGAUCGAAGAACUCUUAGAUGAACUUCAUGGUGCGACAGCUUUCUCAAAGUUAGACCUUAAAUCUGGAUACCACCAGAUUAGGAUGAGGGAGGAAGAUGUGGAGAAAACAGUUUCCACACGCAUGAAGGACAUUAUGAGUUCUUGGUGAUGCCUUUCGGCCUUACGAAUGCUCCUGCCACCUUCCAAUCUCUCAUGAACGAGGUGUUCAAACCAUUCCUUCGAAGGUGUGUCCUGGUUUUUUUUUAUGACAUUCUAGUUUGUAGUGUGGACAUAGAUGAACACAUGAAACAUUUAGGAAUGGUUUUUGCUAUCUUGAGGGACCAUGAAUUGUUUGCAAAUAGGUCUAAAUGUGUCAUUGCUCAUUCCCAAGUUCAAUAUUUGGGUCAUCUGAUUUCCAGCAGAGGAGUGGAGGCUGAUGAGGACAAGAUUCGCAGUAUGGUAAAUUGGCCACGGCCGAAAGAUAUAACUGGGCUGAGGGGAUUCCUUGGACUGACUGGGUAUUAUAGAAGAUUUGUGAAAAGCUAUGGAGAAAUAGCUGCACCCUUAACCAAAUUACUUCAGAAAAAUGCAUUCCAUUGGAAUGAGGAAGCUACAAUAGCGUUUGACCAGCUGAAGCUAGCAAUGACAACCUUACCGGUAUUAGCAUUGCCGGAUUGGUCUCAGCCCUUCACAAUCGAAACUGAUGCUUCAGGAGUAGGUUUAGGUGCAGUUUUAUCACAAGAUGGUCAUCCCAUCGCAUUCUUCAGCCAGAAACUGUCCCCAAGAGCCCAGGGUAAGUCGAUCUAUGAAAGGGAAUUGAUGGCGGUUGUCCUUUCGGUGCAAAAAUGGAGACAUUAUCUCCUGGGCAGAAAGUUCACAAUUGUUUCAGAUCAGAAGGCUCUGAAAUUUCUGUUAGAACAGAGGGAAGUUCAGCCUCAAUUCCAAAAGUGGCUCACAAAACUUUUGGGGUAUGACUUUGAGAUCUUAUACCAGCCGGGUCUGCAGAAUAAGGUGGCGGAUGCUCUCUCAAGGAAGGACCAUUCGGUGGAGUUAAAUACAAUGACAACCACAGGCAUAGUUGAUAUAGAGAUAAUAGAGAAGGAAGUUGAAAUGGAUCAAGAACUUCAGAAAAUUAUUGCCGAACUUAAGGGAGAGGUGGAUCAAGGUGGGAAAUACCAGUGGAACAAUGGCAGGCUGCUAUAUAAAGGAAGGAUGGUGCUGCCGCGAAAUUCCUCCCUCAUUCCGAGUCUUCUACACACGUUCCAUGAUUCCAUAUUAGGAGGGCACUCGGGAUUCUUGAGAACCUAUAAAAGAAUGAGUGGGGAACUAUUUUGGAAAGGAAUGAAGGCUGAUAUCAAGAGAUAUGUAGAAGAAUGUGACACUUGUCAACGUAAUAAGUUCGAAGCUACUAAGCCUGCGGGAGUUCUGCAACCCAUUCCUAUCCCCGACAAGAUAUUGGAGGAUUGGACCAUGGAUUUUAUUGAAGGGCUGCCAAUAGCAGGAGGUUACAACGUGAUUAUGGUAGUCGUCGACCGCCUAAGUAAGUACUCCUACUUCUUGCCUCUGAAACACCCGUACACAGCAAGCAAGUGGCUUCAAUUUUUUUGGAAAAAGUGGUCAGCAAACAUGGAAUACCCAAGUCCAUUAUUACCGACCGUGAUAAGAUCUUCCUUAGCAAUUUCUGGAAGGAGUUGUUCACUACCAUGGGCACCAUUUUGAAGAGAAGCACGGCAUUCCAUCCCCAAACCGAUGGACAAACCGAGAGGGUAAACAGAUGCCUAGAGACCUAUUUGAGAUGCUUUUGCAAUGAACAACCGAAGAAAUGGGAUAAACUGAUCCCUUGGGCGGAAUUAUGGUAUAACACAACCUUCCACGCAUCCACCAAAACUACUCCUUACCAAUCUGUUUUUGGAAGAACUCCCCCGCCACUGCUGUCAUAUGGAUGGAAGCAAUCUCCUAACAAUGACGUAGAAGUCAUGUUGAAGGAGAGAGAUUUAGCACUCAAUGCACUGGAGGAAAACCUAUGCAUAGCUCAAAAUAGAAUGAAGAAAAUGGCAGACCGAAACCGCAGGGAGCUCAAAUUCAAAAUUGGGGAUGAAGUGUAUUUGAAACUACGACCCUAUCGACAAAGAUCACUAGCUCGGAAGAAAUGUGAAAAGCUAUCCCCAAAAUUUUAUGGGCCGUAUGAGGGGUAAAACGUAAAAGCUCACGAAGUAGAAAAGGGAGAAUAUUAGGAAAAGAACAUGAGAGUGGGGCCCACAGGGAAGAAUGAGAAAAGAGCUAUAAAUAAGGCCUUAUCGGGAUUGGGGGCUAGGUUAACUUUUUGUCGUCAUUUGGUCUGUAGAGGCUGCUAGGUCUAGGAAGGACUACUAUCUUUUCCUGGGGAGGUUUGACAUGAUAUUAUCAUCUUUAUUGCUUUCUUUUAUAUUUCCUUCUACUAUAUCUCUUGACAUUUAUAUAUAAAUAAAGAUCUACAGAGUGCUGUCUCUGUUUGCCAACUGUUUGGGUAAUUUAGUAUUUUAUUUGUGGAGUCUCUACAAAAUUAUAGCAAUUCAUUGCAAAUAAGAUGCAGUACCUUGAUUUUAUGGUUAAAGGUUCCAAUUGUUUUUUCUUUUUAAGCUCUUAUUUAUUUAUCGGGAUUGGGGGCUAGGUUAACUUUUUGUCUUCAUUUGGUCUGUAGAGGCUGCUAGGUCUAGGAAGGACUACUAUCUUUUCCUAGGGAGGUUUGACAUGAUAUUAUCACCUUUAUUGCUUUCUUUUAUAUUUCCUUCUACUGUAUCUUUGGCAUUUAUAUAUAAAUAAAGAUCUACAGAGUGCUGUCUCUGUUUGCCAACUGUUUGGGUAAUUUAGUAUUUUAUUUGUGGAGUCUCUACAAAAUUAUAGCAAUUCAUUGCAAAUAAGAUGCAGUACCUUGAUUUUAUGGUUAAAGGUUCCAAUUGUUUUUUCUUUUUAAGCUCUUAUUUGGAAGAGAUUCACCUGUUACAAGUUGAAAUGUGAGUUGGAAAAAUUGGACAAGAAGUUAUAACCUUACAAGAAAAUGAUCCUUAAAGAACUAACUUGAUUCAAGCAAAAUAUCUUCAAGAACAAAAUUGCAAUUACACGAACACUUAUUAACACAAAUAAAAAAUGCAAAUCACACUAUUGAGUACAAUGAAAUACAACAUGAUAACAAGACAGAGAUGCAACAUAUACAUAAACAUACAAAUCAGAAAAGAAGUUGAUUCUUGACAACAAAGUAAAAUAAAUACAAAACAUAUUAAAUUUCUAUGACCAUUAGGACUCUAUAGAGAAAUGCCUACUUUCGACAUAAGCAUUUCAUCAAAUUCCAUCAAAAGCGGAGAGGUUGCCCAUGCAAGCUCUGAUACCAGGCAAUCUCGACGCGCAUUUUACUUUACCUAAGCAGCUGGCUUGACUCCCUCUUUUUUUCUCCCUCCCUCUCUACCGGCUGCCGUGCUAGGUGAAGAACUAAAAGGACCUACUAGGCGGGGUCGGGUUUUGCUUAGGCAAGAAAAGCGGAGAGGAUCCCCACGAAAACUCUGAAACCGGGGGAUCUCGACACGCAUUUUACUUGACCUAAGCGGCUGGCUUGGCUCCCUCUUUUUUUUCUCUCUCCCUCUCUACAGGCUGCCAUGCUGAGUGAAGAACUCUAAGAACCUACUAGGCGGGGUCGGUUUUUGCUUAGGCAAGAAAAGCGGAGAGAAUCCCCACGAAAAUUCUGAAACCGGGGGAUCUCCGCGCAUUUUACUUGACCUAAGCGGCUGGCUUGGCUCCCUCUUUUUUUUUCUCUCCCUCUCUACCGGCUGCCAUGCUGGGUGAAAAACUCUAAGGACCUACUAGGCUGUCGGGUUUUGCUUAGGCAAGAAAAGCGGAGAGGAUCCCCACGAAAAUUCUGAAACAGGGGGAUCUCGGUGCGCAUUUUACUUGACCUAAGCGGCUGGCUUGGCUCCCUCUUUUUUUUUCUCUCGCCCUCUCUACCGGCUGCCAUGCUGUGUGAAAAACUCUAAGGACCUACUAGGCGGGUCGGGUUUUGCUUAGGCAAGAAAAGCGGAGAGGAUCCACACGAAAAUUCUGUAACCGGGGGAUCUCGGCGCGCAUUUUACUUGACCUAAGCGGUUGCCUUGGCUCCCUCUUUGUUUUUCUCUCACCCUCUCUACCGGCUGCCAUGAUGGGUGAAGAACUCUAAGAACCAACUAGGCGGGGUCGGGUUUUGCUUAGGCAAGAAAAGCGGAGAGGAUCCCCACGAAAAUUCUGAAACCGGGGGAUCUCGGCGCGCAUUUUACUUGACCUAAGCGGCUGGCUUGGCUCCCUCUUUUUUUUCUCUCUCCCUCUCUAACCGGCUGCCAUGCUGGGUGAAAAACUCUAAGGACCUACUAGGCGGGUCGGGUUUUGCUUAGGCAAGAAAAGCGGAGAGGAUCCCCACGAAAAUUCUGAAACCGGGGAUCUCGGCGCGCAUUUUACUUGACCUAAGCGGCUGGCUUGGCUCCCUCUUUUUUUUCUCUCCCUCUCUACCGGCUGCCAUGAUGGGUGAAGAACUCUAAGAACCUACUAGCCGGGGUCGGGUUUUGCUUAGGCAAGAAAAGCGGAGAGGAUCCCCACGAAAAUUCUGAAACCGGGGGAUCUCGGCGCGCAUUUUACUUGACCUAAGCGGCUGGCUUGGUUCCCUCUUUUUUUCUCUCUCCCUCUCUACCGGCUGCCAUGCUGGGUGAAGAACUCUAGUGACCCACUAGGCGGGGGUCGGGUUCUGCAACUCUAAGCAGCUUGGUCGUAUUGUUUUGUUUUUAUCGGCUGUUAUGUUGGGUGAAGAACUCUAAGAACCUAACAAUCAUAUUUUGCUUUCAAACAAUCUUAUACAAAUGUGUAUGGCCAAAAGAGGGAUUUAAAAUUAAUAUAAAAAAGGCAGUAGAAGAUGGCAAAAAAGGGGAUUAAAAUUGAGAUAAAAAAGGCAACCGACAUAUUAUUAUGUACAUAAUUCACAAUAUUCAGAAAAUGAACCAAGUGUUCUACUCAUUUCUAAGCUAUCAAUAUAUGCAUUUUUCAACAUAUGUAACAUAUUCAAAUAACAAAUACAAUCACAAAUCCGAGCUCUGUUCUCAUGGGUUUAGGCAUAUAUGCUUUUUUAUGCUAAAACGAAGUAGACAUGGUACUUAUUCUAAGCAUAGAGCAUUGCAAAAGUUUCUAAAUUUUGACAUUUUUAGCAAAAUUUGCAAAAUGAAAAUUUCCCAAAGGACAUGGAAUGUGCAAGGCUACAACCCCCCCCCCUUAAAAAUUUGCAUUGUCCUCAAAGCAUUUUAAGCAAGAUUCUACGGAUGGAAAGAAAAAAAAAGGAGAACAGAAGACCUCCCCUUGUAACCUAGUUUCUUCAUGGAAGCUUGCUUGCAAAGAUCCCAAGUUUGGUUAUAUUUCAUUUUCCUUUAUUCCUACAAAAAGAAACAAAAUUUCCUUCGAAUUUUAUUAAAGAGGUUAAACUAAAAAUUUUAGAAAAAUGUGCACAAUUGUUUAAGCUCGGUUGCAUUUUCUAAGCAUCACUUGAAUUAUUAAAACGACCUAACAAAUAUUCAAUACAAGUUCGUAAUUCAUAACCUACCAAAAAGUUCAAAAAGAUUGUUGUAAAUUACAUACAUCAAUAAACUUACUUCAGCAUUCAUUUGGGUUAUUGUACGUUCAUAUUAAAAAGUAGUCAUUCAUGUCGUGAUGCAAAGGCCCUUUUUAUGUAUCUAAAACUAAAAUCACGAAAUCAUCGUGGACAUGCAGCACAACAAACUGAAUUUCCAUGGGAAGCCUUUGCUAACAAAAUGGUUGACAAUAAUUACUCAGACAAGAGAGAAUGACUAUAAUUAAUUAACAGAAGUACAUCAAUAUAGGUGCACAACCACCAAGCCCCAACAAAAGGAACAAUAAACUUCAAUAACAAAAGAAAGGUAGUAUCAGGACUAUCCUUACUUGUUAUCGAAGAAGAUACCUUGGCUCUGGUAAGCCCAAUGCUCUGCCUUACAACGUUCAAUUACCUCAGUACUACAGCGUUUCUUCAAAGUUUGGGAAUCUACCUAAAACAUAAAUAUAUAUUCCAACUUGAAAACCUCCAUGUCAGAAACUUUACUUUAUUUAUCAAACCAGAUGCUAUGCAAGAAUUAGUUAGCAGAAAUACAACAUAAAUAGUAAUGAUAUUCUUUGGGGAGGAUAAAAGCAUCUUUCAUCUUAGAAAUAAGCUUAGCAGUUAGCACUAACCUUUAUAUAAGAAGUUAACACCGGUUUGAUUGCUUCUUAAAGUUCAGCUACGAAAUCUGGUAAAGAGAAAGACCUAAUCCAUAAUGUUAAAGAGGAAAAGACCAAGUCAGAUUCCUUUAUUCAAACAGGUUAGUAUCACAUCUCCAAAGGAAAAAAACUUACGGACCUCUACGACGAAUUUCCUUGAAUGAUGUAGCAGCACCUGAUUCUUCAAACACAGUUUCAUUUAUGCUGUGAAAAAUAAGAUCGAUAAAUAAAACUUUUGGCUACAAUUAGCCACAGAAACAUAAAGCUGUGACAGGAAAACAAAAGCUAACAGAUAAUUAACUAUACAGUUUGUAAGCAAAAUACCAAAUAGCCCAUAAUCAAGAUCACAACUGAAGCAAACAAUAAUGUGUAGUUUAUCAUUUCCAACCAAAUAAUUCAAUAACAAAUAAGGUCAAAUGGCCAAAUAAUAUGUCCUUUCACAUAAAUAUUUACUCCUGAAUUUUUUGAAGGAUAAUGUUACCGCUUCUCUCCCACGUUUCACAAAAAUUCUUUUACAUAUUAUAUUUUUUUUACAUAUUCCUAUUGAAGAAUCUCAUUUGAGCAUUUUCUGGUCAAUUUGACUUGAAAGAAACGGCCAAACUUUCAAUAAGAAAGAAGCAAGAUGCCCAAUUACGAAAAUAAAUACCAUGAAUACAAACCAUGAAGAAAUAGUAAAACAGUCAAUACAAGAAGAAAAAAGUUCACUUCAAAACGACCUAAAACAGUAUCACUUGAACAAAAUGUGUCUAAGUAUCACUCGAACUUUCAAAACGACCUAAAACAGCUUACGUUGAGAUUUGUAACUCAUAACCUACGAAAAAAGUUCAAAUAGUGUGAAAAAAGCACUACAAGACCCAAAAUGGCUACCAAGUGUGUAAUUGUAACAAACUUAGUUCAAACCAACCUAGAACGUGCUCAAAACGUGUCUAGGUAUUACUUGAGUUUUCAAAACGACCUAGCAAAUCCUAAAUGUAGGUUCGUAAUGAUCUACCAAAAAGGUUGAAAAAAGCAUUUCAAGACCAAAAAUGACAACCAAGUGCAACAAAAUCAAUCUAACCUAAAAUGUAUUCAAAACAUGUGUACGUAUCACUUAAACUUUCAAAACCACCAAACAAUGCUUAAGUGUAAGUUUGUAACUCACAACCUACCAAAUUUUCAAAAACUGUAAAAAAAGCACUUCAAGACCCAAAAUGGCAACGAAGUAUGUAAGUGCAACGGACUUAGUUUCAAGCCAUCCUAAAAAGAGUGCAAAACGUGUCUAAGAUUUCAAACCGACCAAACAAUACUCAAGCGUAAGUUCGUAACUCACAACCUAAAAAAAUUUCAAAAAGUGUGAAAAAAAGUACUUCAAGACCCAACAUUUCAAUCCAAUGUGUAAGUGCAACAAACUUAGUUUCAAACCAACGCAAAAUGUGUUUAAAACGACCUAACAAUCGUUAAGUGUAAGUUCGUAACUCACAAACUAACAAAAAAAUCAAAAUGCGUGAAAAAUGCACUUUGAGACCUAAAAUGGCAACCAAGUAUGCAAGUGAAACAAACUUAGUCUUAAACAAAUCUAAAAAAAUUUCAAACCGUGUUUAAGUAUCACUUGAACUUUCAGAACGACCUAAGAAUGUUUAUUUGUAAAUUCAUCACUCAUAACCUACCAAAAAGUUCAAGAAGUAUGGAAAAAAAGGAAACACUACACGACCCAAAAUGGCAACCAAGUGCGCAAGUGCAACAAACUUAGUUCCAAACCAACCUAAAAAGUGGUCAAGGCGUGUCUAAGUAUCACUUGGACUUUCAAAACAACCUAACAAAGUUUAAGUGUAAGUUGGUAACCCAUAGCCUACCAAAAAGUUCAAAAAGUGUGAAAAGGGCACUUCAAGACCGAAAAUGGCAACCAAUUGGAUAAGGUCAACAAACUUAGUUUCAAACUAACCUAAACCGAGUUUAAAACGUGUCUAAGUAUCACUUAACUUUCAAAAUGUCCUAAAACAGCUUACGUGUAGGAUCGUAACUCAUAACCUACGAAAAAAGUUCAAAUAUUGUGAAAAAAGCACUACAAUACCCAAAAUGGCAACCAAGUGUGUAAGUGCAACAAACUUAGUUCAAACCAACCUAAAAUGUGCUCAAAACGUGUCUAUGUAUUACUUGAGUUUUCAAAACGACCUAGCAAAUCCUAAGUGUAAGUUCGUAACUCAUAAUCUACCAAAAAGUUUGAAAAAAGCAUUUCAAGACCAAAAAUGACAACCAAGUGCAACAAACUCAAUCUAACCUAAAAUGUAUUCAAAACGUGUGUAACUAUCACUUGAAUUUUCAAAACAACCAAACAAUGCUUAAGGGUAAGUUUGUAACUCACAACCUACCAAAAUUUCAAAAAGUGUGAAAAAGGUACUUCAAGACCCAAAACGGCAACGAAGUAUGUAAGUGCAAUGAACUUAGUUUCAAGUUAUCUUAAAAAGAGUUCAAAAUGUGUCUAAGCUUUCAAACGGACCAAACAAUACUCAAGCGUAAGUUCGUGACUCACAACCUACCAAAAUUUCAAAAAGUGUGGAAAAAAGCACUUGGAGACCCAACAUGUCAAUCAAAUGUCUAAACAAACUUAGUUCCAAACAAACACAAAAUGUGUUUGAAACGACCUAACAGUGCUUAAGUGUAAGUUCGUAACUCACAAACUAACAAAAAGUUCAAAAUGAGUGAAAAUGCACUUUGAGACCUAAAAUGGCAACCAAUUGUGCAAGUGAAACAAACUUAGUGUUAAACAAAUCUAAAAAAUGUGCUUAAAACUACUCUAAAGCACACACAAACACUCUCCAUCUCACUCUCUAUCUGCCCUGUUUCCAAUUUAAUCAGGUAUUCAUUUGGGGUUAUUGUAGGUUCAUAUUUAGAAAUAGUCAUUCAUGUUGUGAUGCAAAAUCCCUUUUAUGUAUCUAAAACUAAAAUCACGAAAAUCAUCUUGGACAUGCAGCACAACAAACUAAAUUUCCACGGGAAGCCUUUGCUAACAAAAUGGUAGACAAUAAUUACUCAAACAAGAGAAGGACUAUAAUUAAUUAACAGAAGUACAAAUCAAUAUAGGUGCACAACCACCAAACAAGAGAGAAGGAACAAUAAACUUCAAUAACAAAAGAAAGGUAGUAUCAGGACUAUCCUUACUUGUUAUCGAAGAAGAUACCUUGGCUCCGGUAAGCCCAAUGCUCUGCCUUACAACGUUCAAUUACCUCAGUACUGCAGCGUUUCUUCAAAGUUUGGGAAUCUACCUAAAACAUAAAUAUAUAUUCCAACUUGAAAACCUCCAUGUCAGAAACUUUACUUUAUUUAUCAAACCAGAUGCUAUGCAAGAAUUAGUUAGCAGAAAUACAACAUAAAUAGUAAUGAUAUUCUUUGGGGAGGGGAUAAAAGCAUCUUUCAUCUUAGAAAUAAGCUUAGCAGUUAGCACUAACCUUUAUAUAAGAAGUUAACACCGGUUUGAUUGCUUCUUAAAGUUCAACUACGAAAUCUGGUAAAGAGAAAGACCUAAUCCAUAAUGUUAAAGAGGAAAAGACCAAGUCAGAUUCCUUUAUUCAAACAGGUUAGUAUCACAGCACCAAAGGAAAAAACUUACGGAUCUCUACGACGAAUUUCCUUGAAUGAUGUAGCAGCAUUUGAUGCUUGAAACACGGUUUCAUUUAUGCUGUGAAAAAUAAGAUCGAUAAAUAAAACUUUUGGCUACAAUUAGCCACAGAAACAUAAAGCUGUGACAGGAAAACAAAAGCUAACAGAUAAUUAACUAUACAGUUUGUAGGCAAAAUACCAAAUAGCCCAUAAUCAAGAUCACAACUCAAGCAGACAAUAAUGUGUAGUUUAUCAUUUCCAUCCAAAUAAUUCAAUCAUAAAUAAGGUCAAAUGGCCAAAUAAUAUGGCCUUUCACAUAAAUACUUACUCCUGAAUUUUUUGAACGAUAAUGUUAUCGCUUCUCUCCCACGUUUCACGAAGGCCCUCAGCCAUCUGCCAAUUCCAAUAUAAGAAAAUUAUUUUACAUAUUAUAUUAAACAUUGAAAAUUCUUUUACAUAUUAUUUUUUUUUUAUGUAUUCCUAUUGAAGAAUCUCAUUUGAGCAUUUUGUGGUCAAUUUGACUUGACAGAAACAGCAGAACUUUCAAUUAGAAGGAAGCAAGAUGCCCAGUUUUUUUGAACUGCGGUUUUUUUUUUUUUUUUUUGCUUUAACUUGCUGUAAAUUGGAGAUGUUUUCCAUAACUGCUUCGGCUUGGAGCCCUCUCUCUACUCCUUAUGUAAUUUCAAGAAAUAGAUAAAAUCCAAGUUAAACUAGAUAAGUGGAAAAGAUAUUGUCUCUUUAGUGGAGGUUGGGACACACUUUGUAAGUCGGUUUUUUCACAUAUACCUACACACUAUAUGUCUAUAUUCUUAAUGCCAGAAAAGAUGAUUCAUAAAGUGAUUAAUUGGAAGGUGGUGUCUUGUUCGCAAGAGGAUGGUGGAAUCGGCGUCGAUGGUGCAACGUUAAAAAAAUGCAACCUUCUUGCUAAAUGGGGAUGGAGAUUUAUAAAUGAAAAGAAUUCCCUUUGGGCUAAAGUGGUGAAGAGUAUCCAUGGAGAAAGUUAAUUUGGAUGGCAUACUAAAGGAAUUGUCACUUGCAGUCUCCAUAGUCCCUGGAUUAGCAUUUCGAGAUGCUAGCUUCAAGUGGAUUCCUAGGCAUUGUUCAAGUUCGGUGAUGGUUGAAGAAUAGCAUUUUGGAAUGAUUUUUGGGCAGAUGUUGUUUCUUUUCAAGAUCGUUUAGAUUGUCUUUGAACUCUAAUAAUGGAGAUGUAAAGGAGUUUUGGGACUCUUCCACUACUUCAUGGGCUCUAAAUUUCAGGAGACUUCUAAAAGUUGAAGAAAUAGAUGAAUUUCAAGCCUCCCAAAAUAAAAGAACCUAGAAAUCAGAAUCAAAUGGGAGGUUUUUGGUUCAUUCAUUGGUCAAGCAUCUCUCCAUUGCCUCCCCAAUUGAAAAACAUUUAUACUCGACAAUUUGGAAGACAAAAAGCCCUAGAAGAGUGAAUAUCACGCUUUGGAGAAAGCGAAAUGGACUAUGAACUGUGCAGAAGUUUUGCAAAUGAAACCUUCCUCUCACAGUUUAUCUCCUAAUAUUUGUCCCUUGUGUUUGCAUGCUUUAGAAGAUUUACAUCAUAUUUUCUUCUCCUGCUUACAUGAAAAGAAGUGUUGGUUUGACUUACUUGGCUAUCUUCAUUUGAAUUGGGUUUUCGACUAUAGAUUUAGGAGAACGCGGUCCAGCUUAUUUCAUGUCCCAUUCUCAAGAAGAAACCAAGAUUGAUUUGGUUAAAUGCAGUGAAGGCCAUUUUACCAGAAAUUUGGUUUGAACAUAAUCAGCUAACAUUUUAAAAUAAAGCUUCCUCUUGGACAACUCGAGUCGAAAUGGCUAGAAUCAAUGCUUCUUCUUGAUGCUCUCUUUCAAAAGACUUCAAAGAUUUCUCCAUACAAGAUAUAAGUCAUAAUUGGCCGACUUUCAUUUUUAAUUCUUAGUCCACUACUGUACUCUUAUUUUAUUUCUUUUGGAUUUCUAGUGGUCUUAAAUCUAUGUUGUAUAGUUAUUGGGCAGUUUGUAUGAUCUAUUCCAAACCUUGUCGUUGGUUUAGUCUUUUGGUUUAAGUCUCGAUAUGGUGAGAAUGCUAAGUAGGUGUCAACAUAGAUGAGAUGUCCUAGUGCACUCACUGAUCCUAGGGCUUCUUUGUAUUACCUUUUGUCUUGUCUAUUCAUUUUCAGCUUAAUGAAGAGGCUCCUUUCCUACUUCAAAAAAGAAAAAAAAGGUAAAUGUGUGAUUCUUAUAAAGUAAAUUAUCCUACAGAUUAAAAGUUUGAACUUAUUCCAAGUGCUUCACCAAAUCUUAAAUAUUUGAACCAACAGCACCAACUUUGCACAACACAACAAUGUAAAACACAUUAACUACUUUCUCUUUUAUGCACAUUAUAUAUCAAAUAAAAAUAUUAGAAGGGAAAAAAUGGAAAAAAAAAAACAUACUAACAACGAUAAAAUAUAAUAAGCUUCAAUCGAAGAGAGAAGGUUUGAAGAACAUAAUUCAAAGGUUCCCAAAAUCAUAUCAUAAUUAGAAAGCCAAUACCAACACCAAUUCAAAGAGAACACCUAAUCUACCAUACAAAAGUCUAAAUAUAACUUUUUUUUUAAUCUUGUGUUUUAGUGUAUGAUGCAAGUGAAGCAAAACAACAUUACAAUAUAAGAUCUUUUUACCCUGAUAUUUAAUAAUCAACUAAGAAAAAUUCGCAUUCAAAGUUGACCAAGAAUCCAAGACCUUCAAUAGGCAAAGAUAAUAUUCUCAACAUGGUAAUUGGAUGUGUUCCCUUUAGCAUAGUAUCUUAAAUAAUCACUUUUUGUUAUUUGAGAAAAACUCCAUUUUCUCUUAUUAAUGAAAAAGGACUUGAUAAUAGGCAAGUAUAAUUUAAUAGAAAUUCUAACUAAAGAGAACUAAUUAUAAAAGGAAAUAACGUCUAAAAAGAAUAAUUAAAAAAAUAACUAAGGCAACUAUACAAUACAAAUCUACACUUUGUAAUCACAACUUUCGAUCUUCCUUGUAUGGAGUAACAUUUUAAAGAGGCCGAACUAAGAUAGAUCUAAGCAAAAACUUCAUUGAUGGCCUAAGAAAGAUGGAUGGAAACCUUAUAAUGAUACAGGUAACAAACCUUUUCAAUUGAGGUUUAGAUGCAAAACAUGUAAUAUAGUUCAACAUUAUUUUGCCAAAGUUAGUCAUUAAACUCAAGCGAAUCAUAAAACAGAAAAAGAAUGUAGAUUUAAGAGGACUAUGUAAUAUAUCAACUAGGAAUGAAAUAGGCGAAGAUAAAAGCAAGUAUUAAGAACAAAACAAAGCAUAACAAAAGAGGAAGGCCAGCUUACUAUUCAAAAAAGCAAAGGAGUUCCACAUCACUUGCAAGAUAGCCUGUGGAACAUUGCUAUAGAACUAUCUUGGGAACUUUGGCAGAGUUGUGUUUGGAAAUUACAAUGAUGUUUAGCAAAAAUGUUUACAAUAAUAAAACUAUAACAUAAAUGUUUCAUAGUGUUGGAAGAAAUUUGUAAGGCCCCCUAUUAUCCAUACAUACAAAAGGAGGGGUAAAAACGUAAAAGCUCACGCAGCAGAAAAGGGGAGAAUAUUAGGAAAAGAACAUGAGAGUGGGGCCCACGGGGAAGAAUGAGAAAAGAGCUAUAAAUAAGGCCUUAUCGGGAUUGGGGGCUAGGUUAACUUUUUGUCUUCAUUUGGUCUGUAGAGGCUGCUAGGUCUAGGAAGGACUACUAUCUUUUCCUGGGGAGGUUUGACAUGAUAUUAUCAUCUUUAUUGCUUUCUUUUAUAUUUCCUUCUACUGUAUCUCUUGGCAUUUAUAUAUAAAUAAAGAUCUACAGAGUGCUGUCUCUGUUUGCCAACUGUUUGGGUAAUUUAGUAUUUUAUUUGUGGAGUCUCUACAACUGGUAUCAGAGCCCAAACGCUGGGGUGGUGACGCGACUGAUGGCGCAAAGGCAAAUAGAAGAAAGAAUAGAUGGAACGAGAAAGAAAUACUGGGCUUGAAGGAAAUGAUUCUGGAAAUGAAGAAAUCCAUGGAUAGACUGGCUGAUGAAAUGAAAGAAAACAGCAGCUACAAAAGGCGAGAUGAAUCCGGAACUUCUGAUGGAUCAGUCAUGAAGUUAAAAGGAAAAUGGGAAGAAGCCGACAAUCCAGGGGAAAACAAUGUAGUAACUGUCGACCGAAGCAAAUAUAAGAAACUGGAAAUGCCGAUUUUCACCGGGGAAAAUCCUGAGUCAUGGGUGUUUAGAGCUGAGCAUUUUUUCGAAAUUAAUAGCCUACCGGAAGCAGAAAAAGUGAAAGUAGGUGGUUAGUUUCGGACAAGAUGAAAUCGAUUGGUACCGUUGGAGUAACCAUAGAAAGAAGGUGGAAGGAUGGGAAGAUUUGAAGGUAAGGAUGUUUGAAUUUUUUCGAGAUUCUGGGCAGAAGAGCUUAGGUGCAAGGCUGAUUCGAAUAGAACAAGAUGGAUCCUAUAAUGAUAUGUCAAGAAAUUCGUACAAUAUUCUGCACCACUACUGCACAUGGCUGAAAGCGUGCUCUUAGAUGCAUUCGUGACUGGUCUAGAACCGGCUCUUCAAGCAGAAGUUAUUAGUAGACAUCCUCAAACCUUAGAGGAAUGUAUGAAGGAGGCACAACUGGUAAGUGGCAGAAACCUAGCCUUGAAAUUAGCCAAGGCAGAAUGGGUAAACAGUGUGACUAGGGAAGGAGGAGGCUCAAGCAAGGGACAAAGCAGUCAAGAUAAAAGUUCACCAAAGAAGACUGAGUUCCCCAUGAAGCAAGUCACUAUUCCCAUUAAAGGAAACUACCAGAAAAAUGAACCUCCAGUUAAAAGACUCUUGGACACGGAAUUCAGAGCAAGAUUGGACAAGGGUUUGUGUUUUAGAUGCAAUGAGAAGUACUCACCGGGACACCGAUGCAAGAUGAGAGAGAAAAGGGAAUUAAUGUUAUUUAUACUUAACGAAGAAGAGAGUGGCGGGGAGGAAGUCAAAAUGGAAGAGACCGAAGAAGUAAUGGAGCUGAACCAGUUAGUUGUUGCUGAAACCACCGAAAUUGAAUUGAAGACACUCACGGGGUUAACAUCCAAAGGGACAAUGAAACUGAAGGGGCAUGUAAAAGGAAGGGAGGUGGUGAUUCUCAUCGACAGUGGAGCUACGAACAACUUCAUCCAUGAAGCAGUGGCAAUGGAAGGAGGGUUGAACAUUGAACCCGGUACACAAUUUGGAGUGACUAUUGGAGACGGGACCCGCUGUAAAGGGAAAGGUAUUUGCAGAAAGGUGGAACUGAGAUUGAAAGAAAUGACAGUUAUAACUGAUUUUCUAGUGGUGGAACUAGGAAAUAUUGACGUGAUUUUAGGGAUGCAAUGGCUAGAUACCACCGGCACAAUGAAGGUACAUUGGCCAUCAUUAACCAUGACCUUUUGGGCAAAAGACAAGCAAAUCGUGUUAAGAGGAGAUCCAUCCUUAGUGAAACCUGAAUGUUCUUUGAAGACAUUGGAAAAAACGUGGGAUAUAGUGUAAGACCUCCAAUUAUUCAUACAUAUCAAAGGAGGGGCAGAAAAGUAAUUGGACAAAUUAAUAAUGAGGAAGGAAAAAGAGGAGGAGAUCGUGCAGGUGGGGCCCAGGCACAGAAAUAAGAGAAAGAUGAGAGAAGGAAUAUAAAUAGGUUUUUUAGGUCUAGGGGAGGUAGGUUUUAUUUUUAUCCUGAAGUUGGCGGCUGCUUAGCCUAGAGGAAUAUCCAGUCUUUCCCUAGAGGAAGCUGGGUUUGUCUUAUUAUUCCUUGUUUUUCUUGAAUCUUUAUGUUUUUCUGUACUCAUUUUGGCUAUAUAUAAAUAAAGAUAGCAGAGGGCUACCUCUGUUUUUGGCCAUUGUAAGGGAGAAAUAGUGAAGUAAGCAAGUUGAAUCCUUACAUAUAGAAGACCAAGGCUUCCUCUUAGAAUUCCAGAAUUAUGAGAUGGAAGUAGAGAAUGAAUAUGAACUGGGGACAAGAUUAAAAGGAGAUGAGGAGGAAAUAUCUAUGAUCCGAUCCCUGCUCAAGUAUUAUGCGGAGAUAUUUGAGACACCGAAAAAUUACCUCCAAAAAGAGCUAUUGAUCACCGAAUAUUAACCCUACCUGACCAUAAACCUAUCAACGUAAGACCUUACAAAUACGGUCAUGUGCAGAAAGAAGAAUAAAAAAAAACUGGUGGUCGAGAUGCUUCAAGCAGGGGUAUUCGCCUAGUCAUAGCCCUUACUCCAGCCCGGUGUUGUUAGUGAAGAAAAAAAGAUGGUGGAUGGAGAUUUUGUGUCGAUUACCGCAAGUUAAAUCAGACGACAGUAUCGGAUAAGUUCCCAAUUCCUGUGAUAGAGGAAUUAUUAGAUGAGCUGAAUAGGGCAACGGUUUUCUCGAAAUUAGAUCUGAAAUCUGGUUAUCACCAGAUUAGAAUGAAAGAGGAAGAUGUGGAGAAAACUGUGUUCCGCACACAUGAAGGGCACUAUGAGUUUCUAGUAAUGCCGUUUGGUCUCCACGAAUGCUCUGGCAACCUUCCAAUCUUUGAUGAACCAAGGUAUUUAAACCUUUCCUUCGGCGCUGUGUUUUGGUGUUCUUUGAUGAUAUACUGGUUUAUAGUGCGGAUAUAGAUGAACACGCAAAGCAUUUGGGCAUGGUAUUCAAUGUUUUGAAGUAUAACCAGCUGUUUUGCUAACAAAAAAAAAUGCGUUAUAGCCCAUUCCAGUACAGUACUUGGGACAUAUGAUAUCCAAAAGAGGAGUUGAGGCAGAUGAGGAUAAGAUCAAGAAGAUGAUUAAUUGGCCACCACCAACGAAUAUAUCUGGUCUGCGGGGCUUCUUAGGACUGACAGGAUAUUAUAGGAGGUUUGUCAAGGGUUAUGGAGAGAUCGCUGCACCGCUAACCAAGUUAUUAUAGAAGAAUGCUUUUAAGUGGAAUGAAGAAGCAAAUACUGCCUUCGAAAAUUUGAAGCUAGCAAUGACUACUCUACCAGUGUUGGCAUUACCAGAUUGGAACAUUCCCUUUAUUAUCGAAACUGAUGCAUCUGGCGUAGGGUUAGGAGCGGUGAUCUCUCAAAAUGGCCACCCGAUUGCCUUUUUCAGUCAGAAGUUAUCCACAAGGGCUCAAAACAAAUCCAUCUAUGAAAGAGAGUUGAUGGCUGUAGUUCUAUCAGUUCAAAAAUGGAGGCAUUAUUUGCUGGGCAGGAAGUUCACCAUACUUUCAGAUCAAAAGGCUCUUAAAUUCUUGCUUGAACAGAGAGAGGUAAGCCCCAAUUCCAGAAAUGGUUGACAAAGCUCCUUGGAUAUGAUUUCGAGAUUUUAUAUCAACCGGACAUCAGAACAAGGCAGCGGAUAUCUAGAAUGGAGAACCGGUGGAGCUGCACAGCUUGACAACUACUGGAAUCAUUGAUGUGAAACUAAUCGAGCAGGAAGUUGAGAAUGAUGCUGAACUUAAGAAAAUUAUGGAAAAUCUGAAGAAAAAUGCAGAAGAAGGAAGCAAGUUUCAAGUUUUCUAUAAGGGAGAAUGGUAGUAUCUCAAACUUCUUUUAUACCCAAGAUCCUACAUACUUUCCACGAUUCUAUCCUCGGGGGACAUUCUGGAUUUUUAAGAACUUACAAGAGGAUCAGUGGAGAACUAUAUUGGAGGGUAUGAAGGCUGAAAUAAAGAAAUAUGUGGAACAAUGCGAGAUCUGCCAGAGAAACAAAUACGAAGCAACCAAACCAGCUGGGGUACUUCAACCAAUUCCAAUUCCUGACAGAAUCUUAGAAGAUUGGACCAUGGACUUUUAUUGAGGGGUUGCCACUAGCUGGAGGGGUUAAUGUGAUCAUGGUGGUAGUUGAUCGGCUGAGUAAGUAUUCUUACUUUAUAUCAUUGAGACAUCCGUUUUCAGCCAAGCAAGUUGCUUCCAUAUUCAUCGACAGAAUAGUAAGCAAGCACGGCAUUCCUAAGUCGAUUAUCACAGAUCGGGAUAAAAUCUUUCUUAGUAAUUUUUGGAAGGAACUGUUUGCAACCAUGGAACUAUUCUAAAGAGGAGUACCGCCGUUUCACCCACAAACUGAUGGGCAGACAGAAAGGGUAAAUAGAUGUCUCGAAACUUAUCUGCGAUGCUUCUGUAAUGAACAACCAAAAAAAUGGGAUAGACUGAUUCCAUGGGCAGAAUUGUGGUAUAAUACCACCUUCCAUGCAUCCACCAAAAUAACCCCUUUUCAGACGGUAUACCGCAGACCGCCUCCUCCCCUGUUAUCUAUGGUUACAAGAAAACUCCUAAUAAUGAGGUUGACACGCUGCUGAAGGAACGUGACUUAGCCAUCAAUGCCUUAAAAGAACACCUGUGUGUAGCCUAGAACAGGAUGAAGAAAAUGGCUGAUCGAAAUAGAAGAGAGUUAAAAUUUAAGGUAGGAGAUGAAGUCUACUUGAAAUUGAGACCUUACCGGCAACGCUCCUUGGCUCGGAAGAAGUGUGAAAAGUUAGCACCUAAAUAUUACGGAC